rnacentral:rRNA from 1 species
AGUAACGCGUGGGCAACCUGCCCCAUAGAGGGGGACAACAGCUGGAAACGGCUGCUAAUACCGCAUAACAAGGAGAGAGCGCAUGUUCUUUUCUUCAAAGAUUUAUCGCUAUGGGAUGGACCCGCGUCUGAUUAGCUGGUUGGUGAGGUAACGGCUCACCAAGGCGACGAUCAGUAGCCGGCUUGAGAGAGUGGACGGCCACAUUGGGACUGAGACACGGCCCAGACUCCUACGGAAGGCAGCAG